rnacentral:rRNA from 1 species
UACGUAGGGUGCAAGCGUUAAUCGGAAUUACUGGGCGUAAAGCGUGCGCAGGCGGUUUUGUAAGUCUGAUGUGAAAUCCCCGGGCUCAACCUGGGAAUUGCAUUGGAGACUGCAAGGCUAGAAUCUGGCAGAGGGGGGUAGAAUUCCACGUGUAGCAGUGAAAUGCGUAGAGAUGUGGAGGAACACCGAUGGCGAAGGCAGCCCCCUGGGUCAAGAUUGACGCUCAUGCAAGAAAGCGUGGGGAGCAAACAGG